AGAGUUUGAUCAUGGCUCAGAUUGAGCGGGGGGGACAUGCAUUACACAUGCAUGUCGAACAGAAGAGCGGGGUGCACUGGAUACGAGCGGCGGACGGGUGAGUAAUGCUUAGGAAUCUGCCAUUUAGUGGGGGACAACAUUCCGAAAGGAAUGCUAAUACCGCAUACGUCCUACGGGAGAAAGCAGGGGAUCUUCGGACCUUGCGCUAAAUGAUGAGCCUAAGUCGGAUUAGCUAGUUGGUGGGGUAAAGGCCUACCAAGGCGACGAUCUGUAGCGGGUCUGAGAGGAUGAUCCGCCACACUGGGACUGAGACACGGCCCAGACUCCUACGGGAGGCAGCAGUGGGGAAUAUUGGACAAUGGGCGGAAGCCUGAUCCAGCCAUGCCGCGUGUGUGGAGAAGGCCUUUUGGUUGUAAAGCACUUUAAGCGAGGAGGAGGCUACUAGUACUAAUACUACUGGAUAGUGGACGUUACUCGCAGAAUAAGCACCGGCUAACUCUGUGCCAGCAGCCGCGGUAAUACAGAGGGUGCGAGCGUUAAUCGGAUUUACUGGGCGUAAAGCGUGCGUAGGCGGCUGAUUAAGUCGGAUGUGAAAUCCCUGAGCUUAACUUAGGAAUUGCAUUCGAUACUGGUCAGCUAGAGUAUGGGAGAGGAUGGUAGAAUUCCAGGUGUAGCGGUGAAAUGCGUAGAGAUCUGGAGGAAUACCGAUGGCGAAGGCAGCCAUCUGGCCUAAUACUGACGCUGAGGUACGAAAGCAUGGGGAGCAAACAGGAUUAGAUACCCUGGUAGUCCACGCCGUAAACGAUGGAUACUAGGUGUGGGAGGUAUCAACUCCUUCCGUGCCGCCGUAAACACAUUAAGUAUCCCGCCUGGGGAGUACGGUCGCAAGAUUAAAACUCAAAGGAAUUGACGGGGACCCGCACAAGCAGCGGAGCAUGUGGUUUAAUUCGAAGCAGCGCGAAGAACCUUACCUAGACUUGACAUCUCCUGAAUUACCCUUAAUCGGGGAAGUCCCUUCGGGGACAGGAAGACAGGUGGUGCAUGGUUGUCGUCAGCUCGUGUCGUGAGAUGUUGGGUUAAGUCCCGCAACGAGCGCAACCCUUAUUGUUAGUUGCUACCAUUUAGUUGAGCACUCUAGCGAGACUGCCCGGGUUAACCGGGAGGAAGGUGGGGAUGACGUCAAAUCAUCAUGCCCCUUAUGUCUAGGGCCACACACGUGCUACAAUGGCAAGUACAAAGAGACGCAAGACCGUGAGGUGGAGCAAAACUCAAAAACUUGUCCCAGUUCGGAUUGUAGGCUGAAACUCGCCUACAUGAAGCCGGAGUUGCUAGUAAUCGCGAAUCAGAAUGUCGCGGUGAAUACGUUCCCGGGUCUUGUACACACCGCCCGUCACACCAUGAGAGUUGGCAAUACCCGAAGUCCGUGAGCUAACCCGUAAGGGAAGCAGCGGCCGAAGGUAGGGUCAGCGAUUGGGGUGAAGUCGUAACAAGGUAAAC
rnacentral:rRNA from 1 species